rnacentral:rRNA from 1 species
UACGGGGGGGGGGGCAAGCGUUUGUUCGGAAUUACUGGGCGUAAAGGGCUCGUAGGCGGCCAACUAAGUCGGACGUGAAAUCCCCAGGCUCAACCUGGGAACUGCGUCCGAUACUGGAUGGCUUGAAUCCGGGAGAGGGAUGCAGAAUUCCAGGUGUAGCGGUGAAAUGCGUAGAUAUCUGGAGGAAUACCGGUGGCGAAGGCGGCAUCCUGGACCGGCAUUGACGCUGAGGAGCGAAAGCCAGGGGAGCAAAGCGGG